GAUGAACGCUGGCGGCGUGCUUAACACAUGCAAGUCGAACGGAAAGGCCAGUGCUUGCACUGGUGCUCGAGUGGCGAACGGGUGAGUAACACGUGGGUGAUCUGCCCUGCACUUUGGGAUAAGCCUGGGAAACUGGGUCUAAUACCAGAUAGGACCAUGCUUUGGAUGGUGUGGUGGAAAGUUUUUUCGGUGUGGGAUGAGCUUGCGGCCUAUCAGCUUGUUGGUGGGGUAAUGGCCUACCAAGGCGUCGACGGGUAGCCGGCCUGAGAGGGUGUACGGCCACACUGGGACUGAGAUACGGCCCAGACUGCUACGGGAGGCAGAAGUGGGGAAUAUUGCACAAUGGGCGCAAGCCUGAUGCAGCGACGCCGCGUGGGGGAUGACGGCCUUCGGGUUGUAAACUCCUUUCGCAACUGACGAAGCUUUUUGUGACGGUAGGUUGAGAAGAAGCACCGGCUAACUACGUG
rnacentral:rRNA from 1 species